GCGGCCGUAGUCUAGCCUGGAUUAGGACGCCGGCCUCCCAUGAAGGGCGUAGAAAGCCGGUGAUCCCGGGUUCAAAUCCCGGCCGCGGCACUA
rnacentral:tRNA from 1 species